rnacentral:rRNA from 1 species
ACCGGCGAUACCCGAAUGGGGAAACCCAGUGUGACUCGUCACACUAUCAUUAACUGAAUCCAUAGGUUAAUGAGGCGAACCGGGGGAACUGAAACAUCUAAGUACCCCGAGGAAAAGAAAUCAACCGAGAUUCCCCCAGUAGCGGCGAGCGAACGGGGAGGAGCCCAGAGCCUGAAUCAGCAUGUGUGUUAGUGGAAGCGUCUGGAAAGGCGCGCGAUACAGGGUGACAGCCCCGUACACAAAAGCGCAUGUGCUGUGAGCUCGAUGAGUAGGGCGGGACACGUGGUAUCCUGUCUGAAUAUGGGGGGACCAUCCUCCAAGGCUAAAUACUCCUGACUGACCGAUAGUGAACCAGUACCGUGAGGGAAAGGCGAAAAGAACCCCGGCGAGGGGAGUGAAAAAGAACCUGAAACCGUGUACGUACAAGCAGUGGGAGCCCCACCACCAAAGCAUUUGCUGUACCGCGUUGACGGAGCGAAGCGACGUCAAACCGAUAAAACAGCAGUGUAAAG